rnacentral:piRNA from 1 species
UNUCAGGACUGACAAUGUCAAGGAUGUGGC